GAUGAACGCUGGCGGCGUGCCUAAUACAUGCAAGUCGAGCGAACGGACGAGAAGCUUGCUUCUCUGAUGUUAGCGGCGGACGGGUGAGUAACACGUGGAUAACCUACCUAUAUGACUGGGAUAACUUCGGGAAACCGGAGCUAAUACCGGAUAAUAUUUUGAACCGCAUGGGUCAAAAGUGAAAGACGGUCUUGCGGUCACUAAUAGCUGGAUCCGCGCUGCUUUAGCUAGUUGGUAAGGUAAAGGCUUACCAAGGCAACGAUGCAUAGCCGACCUGAGAGGGGGAUAGGCCGCACGGGAGGUGAGACACCGUCCAUGCGACUACGGGAGGCAGCAGUAGGGUAUCUGACGCAGUAGUCGAAAGCCUGACAGAACAACGCCGAGUGAGUGAUGACGGUCUUCGGAUCGUAAUACUCGGUUACUAGGGAAGAACAUAUUUGUAAUUAACCGUGCACAUCUUGACGGUACCUAAUCAGAAAGCCACGGCUAACUACGUG
rnacentral:rRNA from 1 species